rnacentral:lncRNA from 1 species
GAAGUGUCGAUAGAACUUGAUUAUAAGCAACUAGUUGACGGCAUUUCCAACAACAUUUCUCUCCCCCUUCUCUCUAACACAGCCCACCAACACUUCCGGCGCCCCGCCACAAAUCCAAAGUUUCUCCUUCAAGAUGUAGCAUCAGUGGGUGGUGGUGCCUAGCCCCUCACGGUCGCACCACUGUCGUUCCACACCCUCCUCUUUCCGGUGACCGCCGAUGUUUUCCUUCUUUUGCCGUUGUUUCUUUUGGAGCUCGUCGUUUUAGGGACAUGGUGGGUGGUGGUGUUUCAACUUUUUGGCCGGUUGCUACGGAUUUGGGUUUCUGCAGAUUCGUUUUAGGAAACUGGUGGGUAGUGGUUCGUUUGUGCUGUUUCUACAAGGUUGAACAUGGUGGGUGGUGGUUGAAUUUGCUGGUUUCUGCAGAUUCGUUUUUUUUCUCAACUUUCCUGGUGUGGUUUUGGUUCUGG